rnacentral:rRNA from 1 species
UACGGAGGGAGCAAGCGUUGUUCGGAAUUACUGGGCGUAAAGCGCGUGUAGGCGGCCUGACAAGUCGGGUGUGAAAUCCCGGAGCUCAACUCCGGAACUGCAUCCGAUACUGUCAGGCUCGAGUCUCGGAGAGGAUGGCGGAAUUUCCGGUGUAGAGGUGAAAUUCGUAGAUAUCGGAAGGAACACCAGUGGCGAAGGCGGCCGUCUGGACGAUGACUGACGCUGAGACGCGAAAGCGUGGGGAGCAAACAGG